rnacentral:lncRNA from 1 species
UAAGACAAUGUUUAAAUAAACAUUUAAGUAAUAUGUAAAACACAUUUUGUAGGUGUGCCAAAAUCAACCUAUCACAUGCAUUUUUCAAUUUGAGCUCUAACUGCUGACUUCAGGCAGCUGUCAACUGGCUGUUCUCAGAGUGAUUGUCACCUGUUGGAAAAAUUCUCAACAGAUAUCCAUCACAGGUGGCAAGGAAUGCUUUGUUUUGUUUUAAUUUU